AGAGGGAACCAUUAAGGCCAGGGAGAACACACACACACACACACACACACACACACACACACACACACACACAGAGAGAGAGAGUCUCGAACGCAUUCUCGAACGCACACGCACGAACAGAGCAAUGAGGCUCCACCAGAAAUCCUCUUAUUUCUUCUUCUGGUUCCUAAGUGACUGCCAGGCCCAAGCUCAGAGGGCCAGAUCUCGAGGGUCCAGGAGUGCAAAGGCACCAUUCUUACGGAAGAAUGACUCAAUUCGGCACAUCUUGCAGGAGACCAAUUCUUGCUUUGUUGGAGGGCCUGGGAAAAGAUGUCAGAUACUAGAAAUGGGUUUGUGAGAAGGAGGUCUCAGAGCACAGGAGUUUCCCACAUAGCCCUGAGACUCUACCCAUGUUGUACCUGCCCUGCAUAAACAAAUAAAAAGGACUUCUGAGAAGUGUGGACUACAGGAAAAUCCGUUUGGGUGCUGGAUAACUGGACUCAGCUGUCUGCCAUGAUCAUCGGGUUCUAAGAUGCUCCACUGGGGUCUUUUUUGGGCAUCUAGAUGAUGGACCACUGCACUCUCUCCCCAGGGCCAACAGGUCAGAGAGUGCCUUUCAGCUACGUUUGUCACAGGGACAAACUGUGGAGACAUGGGACUUUCCUUCUACCUCCACCUCACUUCUGGGGCUUCCUCUUUCUUCUGUAGGGAAGGCCGGACCCUUACUUUCAUCUCAGAGGAAAACGAGGUCCCUGUGUUGCUCCCCCCACCCAUCUUUUCUGCACAUGCUCAGGCAGUGGGACACACUCCCUAGGACCUCCUGACCCGUAGGCUAGUGAGUGAAUGGAUACUCCAGAGCCCUCAUCAACCCAAUGGCACAUACAGCCUUGGUAUUUUCCCUACACUUUUGGAAAGCCACCAGGGCUCUCCUGCUUUCUGUCCUGGCCGAUGACCUACCUUCAGUCUCUC
rnacentral:lncRNA from 1 species